GACGAACGCUGGCGGCGUGCUUAACACAUGCAAGUCGAACGGUGAAGCGCCUUCCUUUUUGGUGGGUGUGGAUGAGUGGCGAACGGGUGAGUAACACGUGAGUAACCUGCCCCCUUCUUCUGGAUAACCGCAUGAAAGUGUGGCUAAUACGGGAUAUUCUGGGUCUGUCGCAUGAUGGGUCUGGGAAAGAUAUUGUUUCGGUGGGGGAUGGGCUCGCGGCCUAUCAGCUUGUUGGUGGGGUGAUGGCCUACCAAGGCGGUGACGGGUAGCCGGCCUGAGAGGGUGGACGGUCACACUGGGACUGAGACACGGCCCAGACUCCUACGGGAGGCAGCAGGGGGGAAUAGUGCACAAUGGGCGCAAGCCUGAUGCAGCGACGCCGCGUGAGGGGUGGAGGCCUGCGGGUUGUGAACCUCUUUCGCCAGUGAAGCAGGCCUGCCUCGUUUGUGGGUGGGUUGACGGUAGCUGGAUAAGAAGCGCCGGCUAACUACGUG
rnacentral:rRNA from 1 species